rnacentral:rRNA from 1 species
CCACGGGGUGCUGCAGUGGGGAAUAUUGGACAAUGGGCGAAAGCCUGAUCCAGCCAUGCCGCGUGUGUGAAGAAGGCCUUCGGGUUGUAAAGCACUUUCAGUGGGGAAGAAAGCCUUGGGGCUAAUACCCUCGAGGAAGGACAUCACCCACAGAAGAAGCACCGGCUAACUCCGUGCCAGCAGCCGCGGUAAUACGGAGGGUGCGAGCGUUAAUCGGAAUUACUGGGCGUAAAGCGCGCGUAGGCGGUCUGAUAAGCCGGUUGUGAAAGCCCCGGGCUCAACCUGGGAACGGCAUCCGGAACUGUCAGGCUAGAGUGCAGGAGAGGAAGGUAGAAUUCCCGGUGUAGCGGUGAAAUGCGUAGAGAUCGGGAGGAAUACCAGUGGCGAAGGCGGCCUUCUGGACUGACACUGACGCUGAGGUGCGAAAGCGUGGGUAGCAAACAGGAUUAGAUACCCUUGUAGUC